rnacentral:rRNA from 9 species
CUUGAGAGUUUGAUCCUGGCUCAGAACGAACGCUGGCGGCAGGCUUAACACAUGCAAGUCGAACGGUAACAUGAUCAGCUUGCUGAUUGAUGACGAGUGGCGCACGGGUGCGUAACGCGUAUGCAACCUACCCUUAACUGGGGGAUAGCCCGGAGAAAUUCGGAUUAAUACCCCAUAGUAUUACAGAUUGGCAUCAUGAAGUAAUUAAAGAUUUAUUGGUUAAGGAUGGGCAUGCGUAACAUUAGCUAGUUGGUAAGGUAACGGCUUACCAAGGCUAUGAUGUUUAGGGGUUCUGAGAGGAUGAUCCCCCACACUGGUACUGAGAUACGGACCAGACUCCUACGGGAGGCAGCAG